AUUGAACGCUGGCGGCAUGCCUUACACAUGCAAGUCGAACGGUAACAGGGAGCUUGCUCCGCUGACGAGUGGCGAACGGGUGAGUAAUGUAUCGGAACGUACCUUUCAGUGGGGGAUAACGUAGCGAAAGUUACGCUAAUACCGCAUAUUCUGUGAGCAGGAAAGCAGGGGAUCGCAAGACCUUGCGCUGAUUGAGCGGCCGAUAUCAGAUUAGCUAGUUGGUGAGGUAAAGGCUCACCAAGGCGACGAUCUGUAGCGGGUCUGGGAGGAUGAUCCGCCACACUGGAACUGAGACACGGUCCAGACUCCUACGGGAGGCAGCAGUGGGGAAUUUUGGACAAUGGGGGCAACCCUGAUCCAGCCAUGCCGCGUGAGUGAAGAAGGCCUUCGGGUUGUAAAGCUCUUUCGGCCGGGAAGAAAUCGCAUGGGUUAAUACCCUGUGCGGAUGACGGUACCGGCAUAAGAAGCACCGGCUAACUACGUGCCAGCCGCCGCGGUAA
rnacentral:rRNA from 1 species